rnacentral:rRNA from 1 species
UACGGAGGGUGCGAGCGUUGUCCGGAAUCACUGGGCGUAAAGGGCGCGUAGGCGGCGCGGAAAGUCAACGGUGAAAGCUCGGGGCUCAACCCCGAGUCGGCCGUCGAUACUCCUGGGCUCGAGCACUGUAGAGGCAGAUGGAAUUCCGGGUGUAGCGGUGGAAUGCGUAGAGAUCCGGAAGAACACCGGUGGCGAAGGCGGUCUGCUGGGCAGUUGCUGACACUGAGGCGCGACAGCGUGGGGAGCAAACAGG